CUUCUGUAGCACAGCCAGUACAGAAAACAAUUCAGCCAGCAAGGAAACCACACAAAAAUUGGCUACCCAAGGGCGCAGAUAUCCAGUGGAAGGAUGGGAAAUUCCCUACGAAAAAUAAGGUGGAAAGCGCCCAUCUCCAUCAGGAGAAAAAGAUACUCCAACAAGCAAACACAGACCUGCAGCUUUCCACCAAGUACCAAGG